GACGAACGCUGGCGGCGUGCUUAACACAUGCAAGUCGAGCGGUAAGGCCCUUUCGGGGGUACACGAGCGGUGAACGGGUGAGUAACACGUGGGUGACCUGCCCUCAGCUCUGGGAUAAGCCUGGGAAACCGGGUCUAAUACUGGAUAUGACUCCAUGACGCAUGUUGUGGGGUGGAAAGCCUUGUGCGGCUGAGGAUGGGCCCGCGGCCUAUCAGCUUGUUGGUGGGGUGAGGCCUACCAAGGCGACGACGGGUAGCCGGCCUGAGAGGGCGACCGGCCACACUGGGACUGAGACACGGCCCAGACUCCUACGGGAGGCAGCAGUGGGGAAUCUUGCGCAAUGGGCGAAAGCCUGACGCAGCGACGCCGCGUGAGGGAUGACGGCCU
rnacentral:rRNA from 1 species